CCCGCCUCCCGCCCGCUCCCGGCUGCGCUGCGGCUGCGGUCCUGGCAGCCGAGGCCCCGCGGCGCUGCAGCUCAGAUCCGGCGCUGACCGACCCGCGCCCUGCCCCGCCGCCCGCACCCCCUGGUCCACGCGGGUCCCCCGGCCUGGGGCCCGCCGCAGCCCGGCCCCUCCGCGUGAGCCCCGCCCCCCUCCGGCCGCCGGUUGCCGCAACUUCGGGGGCGGGUGCGUGAAGGUGCCGCUCGCCCCCCGCACCCGCGCGAGUCCUGGGCCCGGCCCCGCACGCCCCCGGCCCUGGCGGAACUUGCCGGAGCAUCGUCGCAGCCAGGCCGCCCGCUCCUCCCCCGGCGGGGCGGGAGCGAGUCCCCGGGGCCGUCCGCGUGCAGCCCCCACUGGCCGCCGCGCACCUGCUACGCUGCGGGCGCACCCGCGGGCGCCGAAGCCUUCGGACAGAAGAAAUGUACCAGACUUUUAUAUAGUAGAGAGAGCAAAGAGCAUCAUUAUCCAGUUGAAACUGAAGAGGAAAUUCUCAGUGGGGUGAAGAGCUGUGUAUUUUUAUCGAGUGUUCAUUAGCUAUCCUCUGUGCAGGGAAUCUACAUGAAAACACCCAAAGGAUGGAAAGCAGACGGAGAAAAAACCUAAAUGACAGGAAAGGCAUCAUAGAGCUUCCACUGUGUCCAGAGGCUCAGAAAACACAAGUAGAGGAUUGCAGACAUUGCUUUAAUGUUAAGAUGGGAGAGAAAAGCACUGGGCUUUAAAAUAAACACUGGGCUUUUUGUUUCCUGUAAGUACA
rnacentral:lncRNA from 1 species